rnacentral:rRNA from 1 species
UACGUAGGGGGCGAGCGUUGUCCGGAUUCAUUGGGCGUAAAGAGCUCGUAGGCGGCUUGGCAAGUCGGGUGUGAAAACUCCAGGCUCAACCUGGAGACGCCACCCGAUACUGCCAUGGCUUGAGUCCGGUAGGGGACCACGGAAUUCCUGGUGUAGCGGUGAAAUGCGCAGAUAUCAGGAGGAACACCGGUGGUGUAGACGGCUUUCUGGACCGUAACUGACGCUGAAACACGAAAGCGUGGGUAGCAAACAGG